rnacentral:snRNA from 1 species
GUGCUCUUCAACACACAUGCUAAGAUUGGAAUGAUACAGAGAAGAUCAGCAUGCUCACCCUGCACAAAGGAUGACAUACAAAUUCAUAAAGCAUUCAGUAUUAUU